UCCGUAGGUGGCAAGCGUUAUCCGGAAUUAUUGGGCGUAAAGAGCGCGCAGGUGGUUGAUUAAGUCUGAUGUGAAAGCCCACGGCUUAACCGUGGAGGGUCAUUGGAAACUGGUCAACUUGAGUGCAGAAGAGGGAAGUGGAAUUCCAUGUGUAGCGGUGAAAUGCGUAGAGAUAUGGAGGAACACCAGUGGCGAAGGUGGCUUCCUGGUCUGUAACUGACACUGAGGCGCGAAAGCGUGGGGAGAAAACAGG
rnacentral:rRNA from 1 species